rnacentral:rRNA from 1 species
UACGGAGGGUGCAAGCGUUAUCCGGAUUCACUGGGUUUAAAGGGUGCGUAGGUGGGUUGGUAAGUCAGUGGUGAAAUCUCCGUGCUUAACAUGGAAACUGCCAUUGAUACUACUGAUCUUGAAUUUUCAGGAGGUAAGCGGAAUAUGUCAUGUAGCGGUGAAAUGCUUAGAUAUGACAUAGAACACCAAUUGCGAAAGGCAGCUUACUACAGGAAUAUUGACACUGAUGCACGAAAAGCGUGGGGAUCAAACAGG